rnacentral:rRNA from 1 species
CAAGUCGAACGAAACCCUUGGGGGUAACUCUGAAGGGGAAGUGGCGAAAGGGGCAGUAAGGCGUGGGUAACCUACCCUGGGGACCGGGAUAGCCUUCCUAACGGAUGGGUAAUACCGGGCGAUCUGCCGAGGGGGCAUCUCCUUGUCAGGAAAUGAGUUUCGCCUCGGGAGGGGCUCACGUGAUAUUAGCUAGUUGGUGAGGUAACGGCCCACCAAGGCGAAGAUGCCUAGCGGGUGUGAGAGCACGACCCGCGCCACUGGCACUGAGACACUGGCCAGACACCUACGGGUGGCUGCAGUCGAGGAUCUUCGGCAAUGGGCGCAAGCCUGACCGAGCGACGCCGCGUGUGCGAUGAAGGCCUUCGGGUUGUAAAGCACUGUCGAGGGGGAGGAAGGCCGCAAGGCUUGACCUAUCCCUGGAGGAAGCACGGGCUAAGUUCGUGCCAGCAGCCGCGGUAAGACGAACCGUGCGAACGUUGUUCGGAAUCACUGGGCUUAAAGGGCGCGUAGGCGGGCCAUCAAGUCCGGGGUGAAAGCCCCCAGCUCAACUGGGGAAGUGCCUUGGAGACUGGUGGUCUCGAGGGAGGUAGGGGUCUGUGGAACUUCGGGUGGAGCGGUGAAAUGCGUUGAUAUCCGAAGGAACGCCGGUGGCGAAAGCGACGGACUGGAUCUCUUCUGACGCUGAGGCGCGAAAGCCAGGGGAGCAAACGGGAUUAGAUACCCCGGUAGUCCUGGCCCUAAACGAUGAGAACUAGGUUGCGGACUUAACAUGGGUUCGCAGCCGAAGCAAAAGUGGUAAGUUCUCCGCCUGGGGAGUAUGGUCGCAAGGCUGAAACUCAAAGGAAUUGACGGGGGCU